rnacentral:rRNA from 1 species
UACGGAAGGCAGCAGUGGGGAAUAUUGCACAAUGGGCGCAAGCCUGAUGCAGCCAUGCCGCGUGUAUGAAGAAGGCCUUCGGGUUGUAAAGUACUUUCAGUCGUGAGGAAGGUGUUAAGGUUAAUAACCUUAGCAAUUGACGUUAGCGACAGAAGAAGCACCGGCUAACUCCGUGCCAGCAGCCGCGGUAAUACGGAGGGUGCGAGCGUUAAUCGGAAUUACUGGGCGUAAAGGGCACGCAGGCGGUUAAUUAAGUUGGAUGUGAAAUCCCCGGGCUUAACCUGGGAAUGGCAUUCAAGACUGGUUAGCUAGAGUCUUGUAGAGGGGGUAGAAUUCCAUGUGUAGCGGUGAAAUGCGUAGAGAUGUGGAGGAAUACCGGUGGCGAAGGCGGCCUCCUGGGACAAAGACUGACGCUCAUGUGCGAAAGCGUGGGGAGCAAACAGGAUUAGGAUACC